GUUUGGGAGGUGUAUUACCACGAGAGAGGGGGUAGUCUGAGUUUGUCAAAUGACUUGAGAGGUGUAAUAUAAGUCACAAGUGAAAUACCACUACUUUUAACGUUAUUUUAUUUACUUUGUAAGGUGGAAGUUGGGCUUUGCCCCUUCUUCUAGUUUUAAGGCAAGCAACUUAUUGGCUGAUCUAGGCAGAUGACAUUUUUAGAUGGGGAGUUUGGCUGGGGCGGCACAUCAGUUAAAAGAUAAUAUAGGUGUCCUAAGAUGAGCUUAAUGAGAAUAGGAAUCUUAUGUGGAACAAAAGGGUAAAAACUCAUUUGAUUUUGAUCUUCAAUUUAGAUACAAACUGUGAAAGUAUAAACUAUCAAUCCUUUAGUAUUUCUAAGUUUGAAGCUAGAUGUGUCAAAAAAGUUACUAUAGGGAUAAUUGGCUUGUGGCAACUAAGUGUUCAUAGCGAUGUUGCUUUUUGAUCCUUUGAUGUCAUUGUGAAGCAAAAUUUACCAAGUGUUGGAUUGUUCACCCACCAAUAGGGAACAUGAGCUGGGUUUAGAGAAUUGUGAGAUAGGUUAGUUAUACCCUACUAAUGCCUUGUGUCCCAAUAGUAAUUGAACUUAGUACGAGAGGAACUAUUGAUUCGCACAAUUGGUCAUUGCACUUGGUUGAAAAGCUAGUGGUGCAAAGCUACUGUGCAUGGGAUUAUAACUGAAUGACUCUAAGUCAAAAUCCAUACUAGAUAUGGUGCCAUCUACCUCCCAUGUUGUUACUUGAUCUUGGAUAGGGGUGGCAUGUGCACCCUGGGGGACUUGUGCAUUGAAAACAUGUACUUACAACUAAGUUUGCUAUUUGUGUUGAACCUAUAAACAUACACUGUGUAGCACAUGUGAUCAUGGGAUGAAAUUUGGAUAUACUGUCACCAUGGAUUCUUAGAACCUUGGGGGAUAAAUGGGGAUAAAAUAGCCAUUAAGGGCUCUCUCAUCAAGCAAUUACCCCUUUUUUAGUUGGCUUAAUGGGAGAGAGAUAAAGUGCACUAUAUGUGGUAUCGGAGCAAAUAGCACAAGUUCAAUUCCCAUUGAUUAAUGGCUACUUAAAAAUAUAAUAAACCCUUGAGCAAGGUAUAUUCCUACCCCUAAAUUUGAAAUUAUACAUAUUAGGCAUACGUUUUUCCUCUUGUAUGGAGUAUCCAUAGAUGAAAGUAUUCACCGUGGGACUACGGUAUGGGUGGAUGAUUAGUUGCUUCACAUGGAAUAGCUAGAAUACAUAGUGGAAGGAUUAGUAGAUUCGGUGCGGAAAUGCAAGUGCUAAAUCCCCUUGGCUCAAAAGGGGUUGUUUGUCAAUAAUCAAUGAGGACAUUGAUUUCUUUGAAGGGGGGGGGGGGGGGGGUGAGUGUAGCGCAUGUGAUCAUGAGAUGAAAUUUGGAUAUAUUGUCACCAUAAAUUCUUGGAAUCUUGGGGGAUAAAUGGGGAUAAAAUAGCCACUAAAGGCUCUCUCAUCAAGCAAUUGCCCCUUUUCCAGUUGGCUUAAGGGGAAAGAAAUAAGGUGCGCUACACACUGAAUGACUUGGGAGAUAAAUCCUUUGCAGACGACUUAAAAUAAAGGAUGGGGUUUUAUAAGUGGCAGAGUAGCCUUGUUGCUACGAUCUGCUAAAGUUCAUCCUUUUGUCUCCAAGAUUU
rfam:Selaginella moellendorffii unplaced genomic scaffold SELMOscaffold_62, whole genome shotgun sequence.